AGCAGCCGCGGUAAUUCCAGCUCCAAUAGCGUAUAUUAAAGUUGUUGCAGUUAAAAAGCUCGUAGUUGAAUUUCGGGAUUCUAUCGUUGGUCGGGCUAUUGUCUGUACUGGCGUGUGGAAUUUCUACCUUCUGGGGAACUAUCAUGUUAUUAAUUUAGCGUGGUAGGAAACCAGGACCUUUACCUUGAAAAAUUAGAGUGUUCAAAGCAGGCUUAUGUCUGAAUACAUUAGCAUGGAAUAAUAAAAUAGGACGGUGGUCCUGUUUUGUUGGUUUCUGAAUCACCGUAAUGAUUAAUAGGGAUAGUUGGGGGCAUUAGUAUUCAAUUGUCAGAGGUGAAAUUCUUGGAUUUAUUGAAGACUAACUACUGCGAAAGCAUUUGCCAAGGAUGUUUUCAUUAAUCAAGAACGAAAGUUAGGGGAUCGAAGACGAUCAGAUACCGUCGUAGUCUUAACCGUAA
rnacentral:rRNA from 1 species